CAUGAACAGUAUGUUGUGCCAUAGUAUCAGCCUCAAGUUGGAUAGAAUUUGUUUUGUUGUUUUUUAGAUGGCCAAAAAGCUCAAUUUUAGUCUCAUCUGACCAGAGUACCUUCUUCCAUAUGUUUGGGGAGUCUCCCACAUGUCCUUUAGUGAACACCAAACGUGUUUGCUUAUUUUUUUCUUUAAGCAAUGGCUUUUUUUUGGCCACUCUUCGGUAAAGCCUAGCCCUGUGGAGUGUAUGGCUUAAAGUGGUCCUAUGGACAGAUACUCCAAUCUCCACUGUGGAGCUUUGCAUCUCCUUCAGGGUUAUCUUUGGUCUCUUUGUUGUCUCUCUGGUUAAUUCCCUCCUUGCCUGUACGUGAGUUUUGGUGUGGCGGCCCUCUCUUGCCUAACACUGAACUGUACUUCGCCACAACAUUGUCCCUGACCUGUUUGGAGAGCUCCUUGGUUUUCAUUGUGCCGCUUGCUUGGUGGUGUCCCUUGCUUAGUGGUGUUGCAGACUCUGGGGCCUUUCAAAACAGGGUUAGGAUUGUAACCACCAGCUUCUUUCUAUGGUGCUACCUGUUCCAGGGUUAGGACUGUAACCACCAGCUUCUUUCUAUGGUGCUACCUGUUCCAGGGUUAGGAUUGUAACCACCAGCU
ensembl:lncRNA